AAGACAGAAAGGAGGUGUUGGCAAAUGACUUCACGGAGAUUUGUCUAUAACAAGAGGGUAAUGAGCAGAGAAGGAAGAAGGGGACAUGUUCCGCAAGAAAACUGUAAAGGAGACUCUGUAUAAGACACUACCAUGGAGACAGGAAACACCAGUCUUUGCAGGAAGGGCCGCAAUGGAGUGGAAGAGUCCCACCCACAUUGUCAUAGGUAUUGUAUGUCCAUAAUCAUUGAGGAAGUAUUCCUGCCUGAAUAAGCUUCCAUAUAUUGGGAAGAAUGGAGCAUAAGAAGUUAGAAAUAUUGAAAGACUGCAUAUACCCGAAGACAGGUUUUCGAUACCACAGUCAUUGAACUCCUUGGAUCAUGGCCCCUUCUUGCAUCUUCAAAACACAUCACACCAACUUUUGCUUCUGUCGUCUUAUCUCUUUUUUUCUUUACUAUGAUCUGCUCAUCUCCCUUUCAUGAUUACACAGAUCCCACCCUCCUACUCUGAAAUAAC